AUGUUCUCUGUAGCUCUGCUGCUGCUGCUGGCUGCUGGAUCCUGUGUGAAGUGUGAACAGUUGACACAGCCAGCCUCAGUGACUGUGCAGCCAGGUCAACGUCUGACCAUCACCUGUCAGGUCUCUUAUUCUCUUAGCAGCUAUGCUACAGCUUGGAUCAGACAGCCUGCAGGGAAAGGACUGGAGUGGAUAAUACGUGGAGGUGUUGGAUACACCACAAGCUACAAAGAUUCCCUAAAGAACAAGUUCAGUAUUGACUUAGACUCUUCCAGCAAAACAGUGACUCUAAAUGGACAGAAUAUGCAGCCUGAAGACACUGCUGUGUAUUACUGUGCCAGAGACCCACAAUAA